rnacentral:rRNA from 1 species
AUUGAACGCUGGCGGCAGGCCUAACACAUGCAAGUCGAACGAGUGGCGGACGGGUGAGUAAUGUCUGGGAAACUGCCUGAUGGAGGGGGAUAACUACUGGAAACGGUAGCUAAUACCGCAUACCAUCGGAUGUGCCCAGAUGGGAUUAGCUAGUAGGUGGGGUAAAGGCUCACCUAGGCGACGAUCCCUAGCUGGUCUGAGAGGAUGACCAGCCACACUGGAACUGAGACACGGUCCAGACUCUUACGGGAGGCGGCAGUGGGGAAGAUUGCACAAUGGGCGCAAGCCUGAUGCAGCCAUGCCGCGUGUAUGAAGAGGGCCUUCGUGUUUUAAAGCACUUUCAGUGGGGAGGCGUUACCCUCAGAAGAAGCACCUGCUAACGCCGUGCCAGCAGCCGCGGUAAUUC